rnacentral:lncRNA from 1 species
AUGGGCAUAGAAAUGUCCAUUUUAUCCUUUGCUAAAGAUAAUUAUCCCAGAGAAACAGAAAUAAGGAGAAAAAAAGAAGCAGAAUGUUUCCUGAUAUCAAUAUCUGUGCAAGGAAUCCAAGGAAUAUCUGUGCAAGGAGAUGGAACUGUUCUAAAUAUCAUCAGAUAAAAGAGGCAAAAGACAAUUCCUGAACUCAAGAUGCUAAUAAUCUAAUGGAAGAGACAACAUGCAAACACACAUAUACAAACAAGCUAUAUAAAGUAUAAUUCAAAGACUAUUAACAAAAGGAUGACACUAAAAUAAAAAGGUUUUCUGAAGACUUACA